AGCGAACGCUGGCGGCAGGCUUAACACAUGCAAGUCGAGCGCCCCGCAAGGGGCGCGGCAGACGGGUGAGUACCACGUGGGAACGUACCCUUUGGUUCGGAACAACCCAGGGAAACUUGGGCUAAUACCGGAUAAGUCCGCGAGGAGAAAGAUUUAUCGCCGAAGGAUCGGCCCGCGUCUGAUUAGCUAGUUGGUGUGGUAACGGCGCACCAAGGCGACGAUCAGUAGCUGGUCUGAGAGGAUGAUCAGCCACACUGGGACUGAGACACGGCCCAGACUCCUACGCGAGGAAGCAGUUGUGAAUAUCGGACGAUUGAGGCUACCUUGAUCCAGCCAUGAGGCGUGAGUGAGGAAAGAGGUAGAGUGGGAGAGGUCAUUGGGCGGGGAAGAUAAUGAAGGUAACAAAAGAAGAAAGCCAGGCUAUCUCCGUG
rnacentral:rRNA from 1 species